rnacentral:tRNA from 1 species
GGCAGUGGAAGCGUGCUGGGCCCAUAACCCAGAGGUCGGUGGAUCGAAACCACUCGCUGCUA